UAGGGCGUGAACUGACAAAAAACCUCCAUCGAACAUUCUAAGAAUGCUGAGGGGGAUUCUGUCUGCCUCUGGACUGUUUCCCUUACCUUAGCCAAAUUGGUGGGGUAUUUUCCAGCCCCUCAGAGACCCACCAUUGGAGUCUGAUGGUAGACCUGGUGCCCCCUACCUUCAGGCAUAUUGAAGUCAACAGGCAGAAGUGAGGGCCUUCCAUCCGUAUCUGGAACAUUUUUGUUGGCCUCUAGUAGGAUUCUGUAUUUCCUGUAACAGCUACUAACAAGCAUCUCAAGUGGGAAGGUGAGAAAACAAGAAGAGAUUCCAGAAAAUAGAGGUCCGCAGAAGAGGACAAAUAGCGUUCAGUCACACAGAAAGACAAUCAAAAGAUUAACAGACAAAAAAAACCAGAAGUGCGCACAAAAACAAAAAACAAGCAGCCGCUAUGAGAUCACCACAAGACUGAACUGAUUCAGACAGGAGCUUCCAUGAGCUCACCAAAGACAGAUGAAGGGGAGGAGAUUCCACAUCAGUCCUCCUUCCCAACAGGACAGAUGAAGUGGGUCUUCGGAGACAAGGUGGUCACCAAUCCCAGACGAGCCCCCAAAUGAAAGACCCCUGGAGUGGGGAGAACCUCACUCAAGUCUCGGGAUGAUGCGGCCUCCUAAGAACUCACAUGCCUGAAGCCUUGGAGGUGCUGCAUGGUAGAGUUUCCUGUAUCUUCCAGAGGAGAAGAAAACACCAUCCAGAAUCCUUGCUCAAUCACAGGCAAGUGCUUGUCACAAGUGUCAUGCUGCCUGUCAUCUGAAAGGCAGCAGAGAAGCAUCAUCAUGGUGUCCCCACUCUAAAGACAAAAUGCAAGUCUCUGGGCAUGCUGGUGGCAUCCCACACUCCCCCUGAUCUGCUGGCUUAUCCUGCUGCAUAGGACAUCAUCUGUACUUGGAACUCCUCGGUCUCCACCAAUGGUUCUUCAAAUCUCAAGUCAUGUACAUUUUCAGAUCAUCGAGCUCCUCUGAAGGAUACUGGUGCUACUAAGGCUGGAGACAGUAAGACAUGUGCACAUCCAGUGUAUCCUCAAAGGCUUCAGUCCUUCAUGAGUUCUCAUCUUUCUCUCAUGAGGCCUGCAGUUAGCAUUACCUUCAUGGUUCUCAUCUUUCUUGCUAUUCUCUAUGACCGGAGUUCUACUCAGACUGCCGUUCUAGCAGGUCCUCAAUGAGGUUCAGGCUCAAAACGAGAACCAAGGAUAGUGACUGAUGGUGCUGGAGGAUAGCAAACAUCCAAUAGCCAGCAACGUAGGAACUUCACAGGACUCUGUGUACUGUGUGGAUGACAGUGCACAUCCUUUAAAUCUAAUCUCCAGGUCUCAGUGACUUCUGUUUGCUGCAGUGAAUGGUGUGAGCCUUGUCUAGUUUACUACCAGGCACAGAUGGACUUCUUAGAAAACUCUCUUAGAAAACAUUUAGACAUGUGUAGAAAUCAAGAAGUAAAGAUUGAGUGGUUUGGAAGACACAAGUCCUGCCAAUGGAACGAUGCAAGCCCAGUGUUAGCUUCCUCCACGUAGUUCUCCUUUCCUUCACGUUUAUCUUUGCCUUCCUUUGAAGAAUGACCUACAGCAAGUAACUUGCCUUCCAAAGCCUCUGCUUACAGAUCCAUAAAGGAAAACUAUGAAUUUUAGAUUUCAAGUAAUAAGUAUUAGUCAGAGUUCUUCAAAGAAAUAUAACCAAUUGUAUAUGUC